UACGUAGGGUGCGAGCGUUGUCCGGAAUUACUGGGCGUAAAGAGCUCGUAGGUGGUUUGUCGCGUUGUUCGUGAAAACCGGGGGCUUAACCCUCGGCGUGCGGGCGAUACGGGCAGACUAGAGUACUGCAGGGGAGACUGGAAUUCCUGGUGUAGCGGUGGAAUGCGCAGAUAUCAGGAGGAACACCGGUGGCGAAGGCGGGUCUCUGGGCCUUACCUGACGCUGAGGUGCGAAAGCGUGGGGAGCAAACAGG
rnacentral:rRNA from 1 species